rnacentral:rRNA from 1 species
UAGGGAAUCUUCGGCAAUGGACGAAAGUCUGACCGAGCAACGCCGCGUGAGUGAAGAAGGUUUUCGGAUCGUAAAACUCUGUUGUUAGAGAAGAACAAGGACGUUAGUAACUGAACGUCCCCUGACGGUAUCUAACCAGAAAGCCACGGCUAACUACGUGCCAGCAGCCGCGGUAAUACGUAGGUGGCAAGCGUUGUCCGGAUUUAUUGGGCGUAAAGCGAGCGCAGGCGGUUUCUUAAGUCUGAUGUGAAAGCCCCCGGCUCAACCGGGGAGGGUCAUUGGAAACUGGGAGACUUGAGUGCAGAAGAGGGGAGUGGAAUUCCAUGUGUAGCGGUGAAAUGCGUAGAUAUAUGGAGGAACACCGGUGGCGAAGGCGGCUCUCUGGUCUGUAACUGACGCUGAGGCUCGAAAGCGUGGGGAGCAAACAGG